CCUCGACAUCAUGACCCAGGGCGCCUUGAUGAAAAUCACAUUUGAGAUCGGACCUGAACCUUGGAGGCAACGGAUCAGGUGGGGGCUUGCCCUGUCUGGUUGUACAAUGCCCUCUAUGGAGUAAAGUCGGAAGCAACUCAGCAUAUAACAUCGGUAUCGGAGGGAAAGUAGGUCUAGCUUGCUGAUUUUGUUGUUGUUGUUGAACUGGCAACUGUUGUUUCAUCUGUUGAGCGAUUGCAUUAACGGGUACUUGAGGUUGACCCGGUGGCAGAGGGUACUGAUGAUAAAAUGGCGGAAAGAAAGGAUGCUGAGAAUACGGC
rnacentral:lncRNA from 1 species